AACGAACGCUGGCGGCAUGCCUAACACAUGCAAGUCGAACGAGACCUUCGGGUCUAGUGGCGCACGGGUGCGUAACGCGUGGGAACCUGCCCUUAGGUUCGGAAUAACUCCCCGAAAGGGGUGCUAAUACCGGAUAAUGUCUUCGGACCAAAGAUUUAUCGCCUUUGGAUGGGCCCGCGUUGGAUUAGCUAGUUGGUAGGGUAAAAGCCUACCAAGGCGACGAUCCAUAGCUGGUCUGAGAGGAUGAUCAGCCACACUGGGACUGAGACACGGCCCAGACUCCUACGGGAGGCAGCAGUGGGGAAUAUUGGACAAUGGGCGAAAGCCUGAUCCAGCAAUGCCGCGUAAGAGAUGAAGGCCUUAGGGUUGUAAAGCUCUAUUACCCGGGAUGAUAAUGACAGUACCGGGAGAAUAAGCCCCGGCUAACUCCGUG
rnacentral:rRNA from 1 species